GACGUAGGUGGCGAACGUUAUCCGGAAUUAUUGGGCGUAAAGGGUGCGUAGGCGGCAUGAUAAGUUAUUGGCGGCAAAUCGAGGCUCAACCUCGUGGAAACUAAUAAUACUGUCUUGCUUGAGUGCAGAAGAGGUUAACGGAACUCCAUGUGGAGCGGUAAAAUGUGUAGAUAUAUGGAAGAACAUCAAUAACGGCGAAGGCAGUUAACUAUUCUGUUACUGACGUUGAGGCACGAAAGCGUGGGGAGCAAAAGG
rnacentral:rRNA from 1 species